rnacentral:rRNA from 1 species
GGAAGGGRUGUAUUUAUUAGAUAAAAAACCAAUGCCCUUCGGGGCUCCUUGGUGAUUCAUGAUAACUUAACGAAUCGCAUGGCCUUGUGCCGGCGAUGGUUCAUUCAAAUUUCUGCCCUAUCAACUUUCGAUGGUAGGAUAGUGGCCUACCAUGGUUUCAACGGGUAACGGGGAAUUAGGGUUCUAUUCCGGAGAGGGAGCCUGAGAAACGGCUACCACAUCCAAGGAAGGCAGCAGGCGCGCAAAUUACCCAAUCCCGACACGGGGAGGUAGUGACAAUAAAUACUGAUGCAGAGCUCUUUUGGGUUUUGCAAUUGGAAUGAGUACAAUUUAAAUCCCUUAACGAGGARCAAUUGGAGGGCAAGUCUGGUGCCAGCAGCCGCGGUAAUUCCAGCUCCAAUAGCGUAUAUUAAAGUUGUUGCAGUUAAAAAGCUCGUAGUUGAACCUUGGGCCUGGCUGGCCGGUCCGCCUCACCGCGUGCACUGGUCCGGCCGGGCCUUUCCUUCUGGGGAGCCGCAUGCCCUUCACUGGGUGUGUCGGGGAACCAGGACUUUUAC